UACAGAGGUCCCAAGCGUUGUUCGGAUUCACUGGGCGUAAAGGGCGCGUAGGUGGCGACCCAAGUCUGUGGUGAAAGCUCGACGCUCAACGUCGAGUCGGCCAUAGAUACUGGGUUGCUUGAGCACUGUAGAGGCAGAUGGAAUUCCGGGUGUAGCGGUGGAAUGCGUAGAGAUCCGGAAGAACACCGGUGGCGAAGGCGGUCUGCUGGGCAGUUGCUGACACUGAGGCGCGACAGCGUGGGGAGCAAACAGG
rnacentral:rRNA from 1 species